CCAAUAGCGUAUAUUAAAGUUGUUGCAGUUAAAAAGCUCGUAGUUGAAUUUCGGAGUUUGUCGGUUGGUCGGGCUUCAUUGUCCGCACUGACCUGAUGGAUUCCUACCUUCUGAAUAACCAGCAUGCUAUUAAGUUAGUGCGUUGGGGAAGCAGAGCUAUUACCUUGAAAAAAUUAGAGUGCUUAAAGCAGGCUUAUGCUUGAAUAGAUUAGCAUGGAAUAAUAAAAUAGGACGGAAUGGUUCUAUUUUGUUGGUUUCUAGGAUCACCGUAAUGAUUAAUAGGGAUAGGUGGGAGCAUUAGUAUUCAAUUGUCAGAGGUGAAAUUCUUGGAUUUAUUGAAGACUAACUUCUGCGAAAGCAUUUGCCAAGGAUGUUUUCAUUAAUCAAGAACGAAAGUUAGGGUAUCGAAGACGAUCAGAUACCGUCGUAGUCUUAACCAUAAACUAUGCCGACUAGGGAUCGGACGAUGUUAAUUUUUUAAUGACUCGUUCGGCGCCUUACG
rnacentral:misc_RNA from 1 species